GCAGCCGGGACGCCCAAGUACCUCUGGAAGUGGCUGUCCUGGACGACCCGGUGCACUGGGAUUCCCUGGGGCUCCAGGGCCAAAGGGUGAUGGUGGGUUUGAGGCCCUAGGUCCAGCCGGCGCUAAAGGUUUCCCAGGUGUUGUUGGGGCCCAGGGCUCUCCAGGAGAUCCAGGAGUACUGGGCCGACCAGGGAGUCCAGGACCACCGGGCCUUAAUGGGUCCUCAGGCCCCAAAGGAAGUAAAGGUGGAGAUGGUUCCCAAGGACCACCUGGUUACGCAGGUACUUGCUGGACUGAAGCCCCAACCGAACCACCAGGGCCGCCAGGCAG